rnacentral:rRNA from 1 species
AUAUCACUAAGCGGAGGAAAAGAAACUAACCAGGAUUCCCCUAGUAACGGCGAGUGAAGCGGGAACAGCUCAAAUUUGAAAUCUGGGAGCAAUCCCCGAAUUGUAGUUUAUAGAGGUACUUUCGGCGACGACCCCGGUACAAGUCUCUUGGAACAGGGCAUCAUAGAGGGUGAGAAUCCCGUCUGUGACCGGGUGUUCGUUGCUAUGUGAGGUGCUUUCAACGAGUCGGGUUGUUUGGGAAUACAGCCCAAAAUGGGUGGUAAAUUUCACCUAAAGCUAAAUAUUGGCGAGAGACCGAUAGCGCACAAGUA